AUCGAACGCUGGCGGAAUGCUUUACACAUGCAAGUCGAACGGCAGCACGGGGGCAGCCCUGGUGGCGAGUGGCGAACGGGUGAGUAAUACAUCGGAACGUGCCCGGUCGUGGGGGAUAACGUAGCGAAAGUUACGCUAAUACCGCAUACGAUCUGAGGAUGAAAGCGGGGGACCUUCGGGCCUCGCGCGAUCGGAGCGGCCGAUGUCAGAUUAGGUAGUUGGUGGGGUAAAGGCCUACCAAGCCGACGAUCUGUAGCUGGUCUGAGAGGACGACCAGCCACACUGGGACUGAGACACGGCCCAGACUCCUACGGGAGGCAGCAGUGGGGAAUUUUGGACAAUGGGCGCAAGCCUGAUCCAGCCAUUCCGCGUGCAGGACGAAGGCCUUCGGGUUGUAAACUGCUUUUGUACGGAACGAAAAGGCUCUGGCUAAUACCUGGGGCUCAUGACGGUACCGUAAGAAUAAGCACCGGCUAACUACGUG
rnacentral:rRNA from 1 species